rnacentral:tRNA from 1 species
AGCGAAAAUAACUCAAUUGGUAGAGUAUAAUCUUGCCAAGGUUAAAGUUGAGGGUUCGAAUCCCUUUUUUCGCUU